UACGUAGGAUGCGAGCGUUAUCCGGAUUUAUUGGGUUUAAAGGGUGCGCAGGCGGCGUGUCAAGUCAGCGGUAAAAUGUCGGGGCUCAACCCCGGCCGGCCGUUGAAACUGGCGUGCUCGAGUUGGAGAGAAGUAUGCGGAAUUCGUGGUGUAGCGGUGAAAUGCAUAGAUAUCACGAAGAACCCCGAUUGCGAAGGCAGCAUACCGGCUCCACACUGACGCUGAGGCACGAAAGCGUGGGUAUCGAACAGG
rnacentral:rRNA from 1 species